UACGGGGGGGGGCAAGCGUUGUUCGGAAUUACUGGGCGUAAAGGGCUCGUAGGCGGCCAACUAAGUCAGACGUGAAAUCCCUCGGCUUAACCGGGGAACUGCGUCUGAUACUGGAUGGCUUGAGGUUGGGAGAGGGAUGCGGAAUUCCAGGUGUAGCGGUGAAAUGCGUAGAUAUCUGGAGGAACACCGGUGGCGAAGGCGGCAUCCUGGACCAACACUGACACUGAGGAGCGAAAGCGUGGGGAGCGAACAGGG
rnacentral:rRNA from 1 species